rnacentral:rRNA from 1 species
UACGUAGGUGGCAAGCGUUGUCCGGAUUUAUUGGGUUUAAAGGGUGCGUAGGCGGUUUCCUAAGUCAGUUGUGAAAUACAGCAGCUUAACUGUCGAGGUGCAAUUGAUACUGGGAAACUUGAGUACUGAUGAGGUAUGCGGAAUGGACGGUGUAGCGGUGAAAUGCUUAGAUAUCGUCCAGAACACCGAUAGCGAAGGCAGCAUACUAAGGAGUAACUGACGCUGAGGCACGAAAGUGUGGGGACCAAACAGG